UAAGUAUACUUCAAUGAAUGAAUCGGAUGCAAAACAUAAAAUUAAAAUAUUUUGAAAUAUUUUGUAAGGAUAAAAAUAAAUAGAAGAAAUGAAAUAAAGAAGAAAUGCUAUGAUCCAAUCACUAAAGAAUAAAUGUUUUAAAAUUAUUAUUUUGGAAAAAAAGAAGAAGGAAAAAUUGGAUUAGAAUCAUUUGUUAUAGGGGCAAAAUAAAAAGUAAGAAAAUGAAAUAAUUAAAAGAAAGGAAAAAUAGAAAAUGGAAAGUAAUAAAAUAGAAUUUUAGAAAAUCAACAGCUUUCCAUCUUGCUAACUCGAGCUGGUCCCCCUUCCUAAAUGUCAACCGCCCAGACCCCCAAUCCCAAUCCGCAAACCCCAAAUGCCUCCCCACAAACGGAAAAGUAAAGAACAAAAUGUCUGAUUUAGAGCAAUGGCAGAGAAAGCUCUUACAAGAACAAAAAAACAAGAAAGAAAGAGAGAUUCAAUAGCACAAGGAACUCAACUGUGUUGCUGCAGCAGGUGGCGCGGGUGGUGAGCAGCAGGUGGCGGCGAAGGCUUAAGCAGCGGCUGCAAGUGGCGGCAAUGUGUGUCGGGGCAAGAAGAAAAGGAAAUGAGGGGUUACAAGGGUAGGGUUGUUUUGUUAGUAAAAAAUUGGGAAUGAUAAAAAAAUAAAAAAAAAUUUAAUUAAAUAAAUAUAUAUAUAGUGCGCCGGGUUCGGGCCGAGGUAUUUAUUCUCUGGGUCCGGCCUGGUCCCGAAUCGGUUUUUCAUCUAAAGCCCCGAGCCUGCCCCGUCACCCCGAUUUUUCGGGAAAAAACCGUCCCGUUAGAGGCGGUGCACUGCGGUUUUCGGGGUGUGCGGCGGCAGAUUACUGGACGGGCUUGUACUAUGCUGGCUUGGGAUGCACUAGCAUCUUGUCCUGAAAGUGGCAAUAGAGAACCAGCAGCAGAUGGUGGAAACGUAGCAUCUAAUAAAGGCUCUGUUAAAGAAGGAUGCUGCUCGUAGCAUAUUUAAGAAAGCUGGUGUUGACAGUAGCUGUCUUCUAGAGGCAACCGAUAAAUUUCAUCCAACAACAACCCAAGGCCCAGACGCAGGUCUUUGAUGUCUGAUCAAGAAGCUGUUUUGGUUGUGUUUGGUUUGGAUUGGUUGGUUCAAUUCAAGGUAGAGGUAGAACCUGAAUUUUAGUGUU